UACGGGAGGCAGCAGUGGGGAAUAUUGCACAAUGGGCGCAAGCCUGAUGCAGCCAUGCCGCGUGUAUGAAGAAGGCCUUCGGGUUGUAAAGUACUUUCAGCAGUGAGGAAGGUGGGUAUGUUAAUAGCAUAUUCAUUUGACGUUAGCUGCAGAAGAAGCACCGGCUAACUCCGUGCCAGCAGCCGCGGUAAUACGGAGGGUGCGAGCGUUAAUCGGAAUUACUGGGCGUAAAGCGCAUGCAGGUGGUUUGUUAAGUCAGAUGUGAAAGCCCGGGGCUCAACCUCGGAAUUGCAUUUGAAACUGGCAAACUAGAGUACUGUAGAGGGGGUAGAAUUUCAGGUGUAGCGGUGAAAUGCGUAGAGAUCUGAAGGAAUACCGGUGGCGAAGGCGGCCCCCUGGACAGAUACUGACACUCAGAUGCGAAAGCGUGGGGAGCAAACAGGAUUAGAUACCCGGGUAG
rnacentral:rRNA from 1 species